rnacentral:rRNA from 1 species
GAUGAACGCUGGCGGCGUGCCUAAUACAUGCGAGUCGAGCGAACAGACGAGGAGCUUGCUCCUCUGACGUUAGCGGCGGACGGGUGAGUAACACGUGGAUAACCUACCUAUAAGACUGGGAUAACUUCGGGAAACCGGAGCUAAUACCGGAUAAUAUAUUGAACCGCAUGAUUCAAUAGUGAAAGACGGUUUUGCUGUCACUUAUAGAUGGAUCCGCGCCGCAUUAGCUAGUUGGUAAGGUAACGGCUUACCAAGGCAACGAUGCGUAGCCGACCUGAGAGGGUGAUCGGCCACACUGGAACUGAGACACGGUCCAGACUCCUACGGGAGGCAGCAGUAGGGAAUCUUCCGCAAUGGGCGAAAGCCUGACGGAGCAACGCCGCGUGAGUGAUGAAGGUCUUCGGAUCGUAAAACUCUGUUAUUAGGGAAGAACAAAUGUGUAAGUAACUAUGCACGUCUUGACGGUACCUAAUCAGAAAGCCACGGCUAACUACGUG